CCCUCUGUUUAAGACUGACUGUCAUCGAUCAGGACUGAAAACAGCAGCUCUGGUCUGUUCUCUCUCAAUCCUAGCAAAGAUGACUGCAAACGCUCUGAUGAUCUGCUCUCUACUGCUUUCUCUUGCUGGUUGUUCUGCUGAGAUCAUUCUGACUCAGAGUCCGUCGGAGGAUUCGGUGUCUGUGGGAAGCAGCGUCACUCUCAACUGCAGAUCCAGCAGUACUGGUUUUACAUCCUAUUUAGCCUGGUAUCACCAGAGACCCGGACAAACACCCAAACUCCUGUUCUCUAGUGUUGGCAGCAAAGUGUCUGGAGUUUCUGAGAGAUUCACUGAUGGGAGAUCAGGAACAAACUUCAUGCUCAAUAUCAGAAAUGUCCAGUCUGAAGACGCAGGAGAUUAUUACUGUCAACAGCAUAGUGAAUGGCCAUUAACACAGUGAUACAGAGCCGUACAAAAACCCCUUCAGUGAAAGAGGAACUACUGAUUUAGACACACACUGCACACAUAUUACACUGUGACUGGACCCUGUUUUCAAAACUCAACACUUCAUAUCACACUGAUACCUGAUUUCAAGGCAUGAAAGCAGAGCACCUGGGACUAAAGCAAACUCAAAAAGAUUCAUAAUUUAAUUCAUGGUUUUGUCCUUUUGGUUGUUCAACUGAGACUUAAGAACCACAACACAAUUAUAGCCUGCCUUUCAAAGAGUUUUAAUUUUUAAAACAAUUUUAUUGACAUUUAAUGCCACUUUAAUGAACAACUUCAAAUCACCGUCUUUUAUAUCACCACAUUGAUAUUUUUCGCAUUUACAGGUUUUUUUUUUUUUUUUUUUGGUAUAAUUAUAAUAUUACCCUUGCAAACAUGUCCCUGCGACAGUGGGCUAGGGCCAGCCCACACCAAACCUAAACAAGUCCAGUGCGUGUUUGCCCAGGUGGGGCCUACAGUUUUGGGCUCACCACAGGCUCUCUGUGAGCAGCCCACACUAGCUGACUGUCCGCAUUAAUCCCUUGAUGGCCCAUGGGCCAGACCGUUUGGGCCCAGAGCAAGUUUUGUACCUUUGGGCCCAUGCAGGUUUUGUUUAGAGAGCCCUGUAAUGCAACUAGGAGAAUACAAACAACAUUGACAGGCCAUUUUUAGCCACUCAAUUGAACUGGAAUGGCUCAAACCAGAAGAGACUUUUUCAGAACCUGUUGUUUCAAAUAGGCCAGGAAUCCUCAAAUCUGGCUCACAAGAUCCACUUUUCUCCGGAGUUUAGCUCCAACCCUAAUCAAACACACCUGAGCAUGCUAAUCAAUGUCUUCAGGAUCAUUAGAAAAU